rnacentral:lncRNA from 1 species
GUGGGAGACAGGAGGGAGCGAGGGCCUGGGCGGAGCUGACUAUUCCUGCCUGGGGGUCCAGGUGAGUGAUGCUGCGGCUGCUUCCCGGUGGCAGAGGCAGAGAUGAGGAGUGCGGUGGAUUCUGGAGAGAUUCUGACACCAGAACUGCCAGGGUUUGCUGAUGGAUUGGGUGUGAGAGAAAGAGGAGCUGCUGGAGAGGACAGUGGAGGAGCCAUAUGUGUGUGCACAUGGGGAUGGGGACAAUCAGGCCACAUUAUCUUUGAGAUGCCUGUGAGACCUCAGCACGUCGAGGGUGCAGGCAUAGGUCUAGACUUGGGAGUCGUAGCGUGUGGGUGAUCCCUAAAGCCUUGAGACUGGAUGAAGGCAGGAGUUUUGCCUGUUUUGUUCACUGCUGUGUCCCCAGCCCCACGCCUGGCACACAGCAGGUGCUCAAUAAGCGUUUUUGAACACAUGGUCACCUGGCUCAUGCCCAGCUGGGUCAGAGAAGCAUGCUUUGC